GUGGGGAAUAUUGGGCAAUGGGCGCAAGCCUGAUCCAGCAAUGCCGCGUGAGUGAAGAAGGCCUUCGGGUUGUAAAGCUCUUUUACCCGGGAAGAUAAUGACUGUACCGGGAGAAUAAGCCCCGGCUAACUCCGUGCCAGCAGCCGCGGUAAUACGGAGGGGGCUAGCGUUGUUCGGAAUUACUGGGCGUAAAGCGCACGUAGGCGGUCUUUUAAGUCAGAGGUGAAAGCCCGGGGCUCAACUCCGGAAUUGCCUUUGAAACUGGAAGACUUGAACACGGGAGAGGUGAGUGGAAUUCCGAGUGUAGAGGUGAAAUUCGUAGAUAUUCGGAGGAACACCAGUGGCGAAGGCGGCUCACUGGACCGUUGUUGACGCUGAGGUGCGAAAGCGUGGGGAGCAAACAGGAUUAGAAACCCGAGUAGUCC
rnacentral:rRNA from 1 species